rnacentral:rRNA from 1 species
CUCGAUGUGCGCGAGUCACUGGGUGCAAACCUAAAGGCGCAAUGAAAGUGUCACAGGGUGGGCCAUCUGGUCCCACCCCAGGGAGGAUGGGCACCCGUACGGCUUGCUCGUCGGGGCCCCGCACUCCCGGGGCGUCUCGUUCUCAUCACGAGUAGAGACGCACCAGGAGCGCACACGAUGGUACCCGAAAGAUGGUGAACUAUGCCUGGCCAGGACGAAGCCAGGGGAAACCCUGGUGGAGGUCCGAAGCGAUUCUGACGUGCAAAUCGAUCGUCUGAGCUGGGUAUAGGGGCGAAAGACCAAUCGAACCAUCUAGUAGCUGGUUUUCCUUCCGAAA